GCUUUGUCUGGUGAGGAAGUAGCUGUACCCCUGCCAUGAGAGCUACCCCGUCCCUCCAGAGCCUGGGCUGCUCCUCUCCGGGCUUCAGGACAGGGCAGGGCCCUGCGGCACUGUGCAGGAGCCGCCUCUCACCUUCGUGAGAUGGGGAUUGCAAUUAGUCCUGGCCCUUUGCUUGUGCCAUCUGUCUGCUCCCCGAACAUCCCUGCAGGAUCUGUGUCUUAGCAGGUUAAUUUAAUAACCGCCUGCUUUAUUGCUGCUGGCCGUGGGCAUGGCACGGAGCAGCUGAGUAUGUCAACAGCACAGAGCAGGAAUCAAAUGCUGCCCAGAUGCUCAUUUAGGUUUGUUUUGCUGAGGGAGCGCGAACCCUCCCAUGGGCCGAGCCCUGCGUCGUUCUCCUUGGCAAGAGAUGGGUAAAAAGCAGCAGUGGAGAUUAAACCAGGCCACGGAGCCACGGAGUGCUACACCUGAGAGGUAUGGCGAGGUGAGGACAGCACGGGAGCGGCAGAAAGGUGUUGUUGGCUGGAGAGCACGGCAGCACGGAGCCCAGUGAGUCAGCCCUGCACACUGAUACAGGCAACGACUGCACUCUGACCUCCGCCUCUCGCACAGACACGAUCCGCAAAGCAUCAAGUGCUGGGAGCUGGGAAGGAAACCUCACAGACCCCAAACCGGUGUCGACUGACAGGACCUGGAGGUGGACUCCGAGCUCCAAGACCCCAAGGCGGCACCACCCGCUCGGGCUGUGCUCACGGCUGUGCUCGCGGCCGCACCGCUGCCUCUUUGUUUUCCCCGGGCCCGCCCCAGCCGCGCUCUUUGCCCCCGGCCCCACUUCCUCACUCAUUCCUCCACCCGCCGCACAAAGGCCCGGCAGCACCACAAAGACGCGCACACAAGGAACCUAAGCGAGCGUGUAAUCUCGUUAUUGUAACCCUCAUCCUCCCUUUCCCCCUUUU
rnacentral:lncRNA from 1 species